CCGCAAGCGGUUUUGAUAUGCAAAUCAUUCGCGUGACCUGCGUAUAGGAGUGAAAGAUUCAUCGAACUGGGCAUCAGCUGGUUCCUCUCGAAACAUGUCGCAGCAUGACCUGGCCGGAGAUCGAUGGUGAGGUAGAGCACCGAUUGGGGGAGCUGGGGGAGAAAUCCCUUACCCCCCUGCCGAACUCCAAACUCCCCAUCAUCCUAGAUGGCCGGAAGUCCGGGCUACGGGGUAAGCUUGUAGUCCGUAAGGGAGACAACCCAGACCGUGGUUAAUGUCCCUCAAUGUAGGCUAAGUGUAAACACUGAAAGUGGUCCUAGGUCAAAGACAACUGGGAGGUGAGCUCAGAAGCAGCUAUCCUUUAAAAAGUGCGUAACAGCUUACCAGUCAAGAUUUAGGGCGCUGAAAAUGGACGGGGCUAAAGCCUACUACAGAGACCACGGAGCACCGAAAGGUGAUCUCGUAGAGAGGCGUUCUGCAUGGGUAGAAGCUGGGGCGUAAGGUCCAGUGGACCGUGUAGAAUUGAGAAUUCUGGCAGUAGUAGAAGCAUAGUUGGGUGAGAAUCCCAACCGCCGCAGGGGCUAGGUUUCCUCGGCCAUGUUCGUCAGCCGAGGGUUAGUCGGUCCUAAGGUGCACCGUAACUCGAGUGUACCGAAAGGGAAACAGGUUAAUAUUCCUGUACCGUCCGUCUGUAGCGAAAGCCCUGACGCUUCGGGAUAUGUCAGGCGGGAUCGUCGUCCCGUCCAAGCGUAUAAUUCCGGGGAGUACCGUAAUGGUGAGAAGCGGAAGAAAGCGUGAUGGGGUAACUUGACAAAUUCCUGGAGCCCGUGAAAAGGGAGACGGCGUCCGUACCGAGAACCGACACAGGUGCCCCUCGCUGAAAAGGCGAAGGCGUGUCGGAGUGAAUUGUGUUAAGGGAACUCGGCAAAUUAGCCCCGUAACUUCGGGAGAAGGGGUGCCUGCCUGGAGAUCAGGCAGGUCGCAGUGACCAGGGAGCUCUAACUGUCUAAUAACAACAUAGGUGACUGCAACUCGGAAACGACUAGUAUAGUCACUGAUUCCUGCCCAGUGCGAGUAUCUGAAAACCCAGUACAAUGGGACGAAGGACUCGUAAACGGCGGGGGUAACUAUGACCCUCUUAAGGUAGCGUAGUACCUUGUCGCUUAAUUGGCGACUUGCAUGAAUGGAUUAAUGAGAGCUCUACUGUCCCUAACACAAGCCCGUUGAACCUUUUGUCCUAGUGCAGAGACUAGGGACUCCUAUUGGGAAGUGAAGACCCCGUGGAGCUUUACUGCAGCCUGUCGCUGAAUUAUGGUAUUACAUGCGCAGUGUAGAUGGGAGGCGCUUGAUCCGUUCCUUUCGGGGGACGGGGAGCCAACAAUGAGACACCAUCCUUGUUUUACUGUAGUUCUCACUCUUACGAGGACAACGAUAGGUAGGCAGUUUGGGUGGGGCGCCACACCCUCGAAAAAAUAUCAAGGGUGCCCUAAGGUCAACUCAUGUGAGUCAGAAACUCACAGGAGAGUGUCAAGAGCAAAAGUUGGCCUGACGCGAUUGCGCAUAGCAAGCAAUCGCGAGAGGAAACUCGGGUCUAACGAACCAAUACGCCCUUUUGAUGAGGGCUAUUGACGACAGAAAAGCUACCCCGGGGAUAACAGAGUCGUCGCCGGCAAGAGCACAUAUCGACCCGGCGGCUUGCUACCUCGAUGUCGGUUCUUUCCAUCCUGGCUGUGCAGCAGCAGCCAAGGGUGAGGUUGUUCGCCUAUUAAAGGGGAUCGUGAGCUGGGUUUAGACCGUCGUGAGACAGGUCGGUUACUAUCUAAUAGGAGUGUCAGGAGUCUGAGGGUAAGAAUGGAAUAGUACGAGAGGAACUUCCAUUCGGCGCCUCUAGUCGAUCGGUUGUCCGACAGGGCAUUGCCGAGCAGCCACGCGCCAAGGGAUAAAAGCUGAAAGCAUCUAAGCUUGAAACCCGGCCUAAAAAGAGACUCCGUU
rnacentral:rRNA from 1 species